UACGGAGGGGGGCUAGCGUUGUUCGGAAUUACUGGGCGUAAAGCGCACGUAGGCGGCUUUGUAAGUUAGAGGUGAAAGCCCAGGGCUUAACUCUGGAAUUGCCUUUAAGACUGCAUCGCUAGAAUCGUGGAGAGGUGAGUGGAAUUCCGAGUGUAGAGGUGAAAAUUCGUAGAUAUUCGGAAGAACACCAGUGGCGAAGGCGACUUACUGGACACAUAUUGACGCUGAGGUGCGAAAAGCGUGGGGAGC
rnacentral:rRNA from 1 species